UACGUAUGUCACGAGCGUUAUCCGGAUUUAUUGGGCGUAAAGCGCGUCUAGGUGGUUAUGUAAGUCUGAUGUGAAAAUGCAGGGCUCAACUCUGUAUUGCGUCGGAAACUGUAUAACUAGAGUACUGGAGAGGUAAGCGGAACUACAAGUGUAGAGGUGAAAUUCGUAGAUAUUUGUAGGAAUGCCGAUGGGGAAGCCAGCUUACUGGACAGAUACUGACGCUAAAGCGCGAAAGCGUGGGUAGCAAACAGGAUUAGAUACCCUGGUAGUCCACGCUGUAAACGAUGAGAGCUAGCCGUUGGGGUGCAUGCACCUCAGUGGCGCAGCUAACGCGUUAAGCUCUCCGCCUGGGGAGUACGGCCGC
rnacentral:rRNA from 1 species